rnacentral:lncRNA from 1 species
UUGAAUUGUACUAAUAUUUGGUAGAACUAAGUGCAGUGCUUGCAUUGGAUAUGGAGCAAACUAAGAUGAACAUGUGUGAGAUGCAUGUGAUUUGUAAUGCUUGCUUACUUAUUUCUUUGUAAUUUUGGAAUAUAUAAUGUUCGUAUAUGUUAUGUGGUUUUCUUAUUUCCAUAGUUUUAUGAGCAUAAUAUUGGUAGAUAUAGAUUUUAUCUGAUUCUUCUAGUUGUUAUCUUUAAAGUGUUUUGGCUGUACAUGUAAGUUUGUUUGAUUCGAUAUGUUGUUAUCUUUAUGACUGUUGGUUGCUUUGAAGAUAUUUUUUAUGUAUAUAAAUGCCGGUAUACUCAGUUAUAUUGGCUACAAAUUUGUAAUAGUUUUUUUUUUUUAUUUUGUAUUAUGUGAGCGUUGAAUUAAUUGAAUUUUCCAGUGAAAGGAAUUUGUACUUUGUAUUAUACUAUUAUUUUCAAGCUAAUUGCUAUUUGUGUCUUCGCUUUUCCAUGUCAGCCUAAUCCAUCUUGCCAGAGCUAUAAUUACCUCCAAAUUGAUUUCAUUUGUAGCUAAUAUUUUUGUAAAAAAUUUGGUGGGUAAAGUAUUUGUAAUUUGAACGUAAGAAUUCACGAGAGGCAAAAAAUAAAAUUUUAAUAGAUUUUAUAAAAAUAUUUGUAAUUUGAAGGGCACAAAAGAAUAGUGAAAAAAUAUAUCGGUAACAAAUUAGGCUAAAAUUUUGUAAAAAAUUUGGUAACAAAUUAGGCUAAAAUUAAUUUUAAUUUGACCCCCAAAAAAAAGGGUGAAUCAUAUAAAUUUUAAAGGAAAAAAUAAAAACUCUUAUUUACAUAGAAUUAAUAUGAGGGGUAGUUUUGUCUUUUCAUCUCUAUAACCACCAAUUAUCCUUCUUAUUCCAUUUAAUCCAACCAAACACUAUUUUGCUUAUAACUUGACUAAACUCAAUACUCAACCAAACACAAAAUUACUCUAUAACGACCUUAUACCUCAUCUUAUAUUUAUUCCUCGAACAAUUAUUUCUUUCUUAUACCUGAACCAAAUGGAGCCUUAUAUAUAAGUAUAUGUUCUCAUCCGUUUUUCUGUUUGGAUUGAAUUUUUUUUACUUUUCAAUUUAAAACCAAACCAAAAAUUUAGAUUUAAAUUUUUUUGAAUCAAAACCAAAUCACAUACAAACUAAAAAACUAAAUCAAACUAGAUUAAAUAAAAAAAAUAUUUCAAAUAAGAACGAAUGGUUAUUAUCAAUCUGCUAAAGUAUAGAAUAUAUAUAUCCAUUUGUAAAUCUAAUCGUACAAGUGGUUAUAAUUAAUUUGUAAAAAAAAUAUCUCAAAUAAAAAUGAGUGAUGAUGAUCAAUCUGUUAAAAAAUUGCAUUCAUAUCCAUCUAUCUUACAUUAAAAUUAAAAUUUAAGUUUAUAUCUUGAAUUAAAUUUAAUUUUUGAUAUCAAAUUUGAAUUAACAAUUAAAAAAUAUUAAUUAUCGUGAAUAAAAAUUAAAUUUUAAUUAAAGUAAAUGUGAAUUAAAUUUUGAUGCUUUUAGUUUAAA